rnacentral:rRNA from 1 species
GACGAACGCUGGCGGCGUGCCUAAUACAUGCAAGUUGAGCGCUGAAGGUUGGUACUUGUACCGACUGGAUGAGCAGCGAACGGGUGAGUAACGCGUGGGGAAUCUGCCUUUGAGCGGGGGACAACAUUUGGAAACGAAUGCUAAUACCGCAUAAAAACUUUAAACACAAGUUUUAAGUUUGAAAGAUGCAAUUGCAUCACUCAAAGAUGAUCCCGCGUUGUAUUAGCUAGUUGGUGAGGUAAAGGCUCACCAAGGCGAUGAUACAUAGCCGACCUGAGAGGGUGAUCGGCCACAUUGGGACUGAGACACGGCCCAAACUCCUACAGGAGGCAGCAGUAGGGAAUCUUCGGCAAUGGACGAAAGUCUGACCGAGCAACGCCGCGUGAGUGAAGAAGGUUUUCGGAUCGUAAAACUCUGUUGGUAGAGAAGAACGUUGGUGAGAGUGGAAAGCUCAUCAAGUGACGGUAACUACCCAGAAAGGGACGGCUAACUACGUG